rnacentral:rRNA from 1 species
UACGUAGGGGGCGAGCGUUGUCCGGAGUUACUGGGCGUAAAGCGCUUGUAGGCGGUCCACCAAGUUUGGGGUGACAGUUGCCGACUUAAUCGGCAAACUGCCUCAAAGACUGGCGGACUUGAGGGCCACAGAGGGACAUGGAACUCCAGGUGUAGUGGUGAAAUGCGUAGAUAUCUGGAAGAACACCAAAGGCGAAGGCAGUGUCCUGGGUGGUCGCUGACGCUGAGAGGCGAAAGCCAGGGGAGCGAACGGG